AACGAACGCUGGCGGCAGGCCUAACACAUGCAAGUCGAGCGCCCCGCAAGGGGAGCGGCAGACGGGUGAGUAACGCGUGGGAAUCUACCUCGUGGUACGGAAUAGCCCAGGGAAACUUGGAGUAAUACCGUAUGAGCCCGAAAGGGGAAAGAUUUAUCGCCAUGAGAUGAGCCCGCGUUGGAUUAGCUAGUUGGUGGGGUAAUGGCCCACCAAGGCGACGAUCCAUAGCUGGUCUGAGAGGAUGAUUAGCCACACUGGGACUGAGACACGGCCCAGACUCCUACGGGAGGCAGCAGUGGGGAAUAUUGGACAAUGGGCGCAAGCCUGAUCCAGCCAUGCCGCGUGAGUGACGAAGGUCUUCGGAUUGUAAAGCUCUUUUGGCGGGGACGAUAAUGACGGUACCCGCAGAAUAAGCCCCGGCUAACUUCGUGCCAGCCGCCGCAGUAAAAC
rnacentral:rRNA from 1 species